rnacentral:rRNA from 1 species
UACGUAGGAGGCGAGCGUUAUCCGGAUUUACUGGGCGUAAAGCGGGCGUAGGCGGCUUUUCAAGUCGGAUGUAAAAUCUCCCGGCUCAACUGGGAGGGCUCAUUCGAAACUGUUGGGCUAGAGUGCAGCAGAGGGAGGUGGAAUUCCCGGUGUAGUGGUGAAAUGCGUAGAUAUCGGGAGGAACACCAGUGGCGAAGGCGACCUCCUAGGCUGUUACUGACGCUGAGGCCCAAAAGCGUGGGGAGCGAACAGGAUUAGAUACCCUGGUAGUCCACGCCGUAAACGAUGGACACUAGGUAUAGGGAGUAUCGACCCUCUCUGUGCCGAAGCUAACGCAUUAAGUGUCCCGCCUGGGGACUACGGCCGCAAGGCUAAAACUCGAAGGAAUUGACGGGGGCCCGCACAAGCAGCGGAGCGUGUGGUUUAACUCGAUGCAACGCGAAGAACCUUACCAAGGCUUGACAUAUCGGAAGUAGGAACCUGAAAGGGGGACGACCUGUUAAGUCAGGAACCGAUACAGGUGCUGCAUGGCUGUCGUCAGCUCGUGCCGUGAGGUGUUGGGUUAAGUCCCGCAACGAGCGCAACCCCCGUUGCCAGUUGUUUUCUCUGGCGAGACUGCCCUGCAAAACGGGGAGGAAGGUGGGGAUGACGUCAAGUCAGCACGGCCCUUAUGCCUUGGGCUACACACACGCUACAAUGGGUGGUACAAUUGGUGGCAAUGGAGCGAUCCGGAGCUAAUCCCAGAAAACCAUUCUCAGUUCGGAUUGCAGGCUGAAACCCGCCUGCAUGAAGUUGGAGUUGCUAGUAACCGCAGGUCAGCAUACUGCGGUGAAUACGUUCUCGGGCCU